CAUGCCUCCCAGUCACUGGGGUCCACUCCGUGGGUCCACUUUCAUUACAACCUAUAAACGUACUUGGUUGACGUGCCUCGGGGGAGCAAAUUCAACACUUUACGAUUAACGUUUACAGUUUGGUUUCAGCGGUCUCUGCUGUGAUUUUUCCUGUCUCAUGUCAAAUUCGAGGUGUUUUUUCUACGAUAUUCCUGACUUAGAAGUAACAAAUAUGGAUUGCAUGAACAUCGUAGAAUCCGAGGAAAUCUCAGAACCACAGGAUGAGAAUCAGAAACUCAAGGAAGCCUAUCUUUUGCUGAAAAGAAAAAUAAGUUUGUCACAUGAAUUGAUAAAGCAAUAUAACGAUAAAAUAAAGGAAUGUCAGAAUUUAAAUAUGGAACUGGAGGCCGUUAGAAAAAACUCCGAACAUAUAAUGCGAAAGCAUAAUUCUAACUUGACCAAAAUGACCAAAUUGAAACUCGAAAAUGCUCAGUAUCAGCAAAAAUUUGAACAUUCCUCAAAGUAUAUAUCAGAUCAGGAAAUUAAAAUUGCUGCAGAUAAACAACACUUGGAACAACUCAUAUGUAAAGUGAACGAUUUGGAGCGUAACGUGGCUGAAAAAACAAAGAAGGAAUACAUUUCGAAAGAUAAAAUUCAAGCACUAGAGCGUCAAUUGAAGGCAGUUAGAAAGUCGCAUGAAACGGAAAUGAAAAAGAUGGAGAUAAAAUUAAAUAACAUAUCUGCCCCAAAGAUUGUCAAUACUCAGAUAAUCAAGAAAGAAAAGAAAGUUACUCACGAAAAGUAUACCUGCACUGGAAAUGAGCUUGAGGAUGAUUUAGUCAAACGAGAAACGAUGGAUAAAUGUACCUUGACCAACGACUUUUACAGUAUAAAAGAUGAUCCGUAUCCAUUAUUUUGUUCGAAAUGCGAAGUGAAAUUCGAUACUGUACCACUUGACCAAAUACUACGACAGAUGUCCGCAUGUCCCAGUCCUAUCUCAGAAGUAUCAUCACCUAAAAAAUCAGAGAAGACUUCGAGCCACGAGAAUUCAGCAGCACCAAUUGAGAUAAGAAUCUCCCAGUCUGAAAUGAAUGAAAACCAUUCAAAUUAUGUCAAUCAAAUUAUUCAAACAGAGGAAAGAUAUUCUGAUUCUACCUCAAAUUCAGAAUUUCAAAGAUUGGAACAGAAGCUUCAGAAUCUGGAGCGCAAGUUCCAGAAAAAAUUGAAGACAUCUAAUGAGUGUAAAAAUCUCCGCUGCACUUAUGAGCAUCCAAGCAGUUGUUAUUUAGGGCCACAUCCAUACCAUUUUCAUUCGUAUCGACCAAUGGCACGCCCUCCGUAUAAUUUUGUUGAUUAUCAAACAUUGCAACGAACUCCCAUAAGUCGUAAAAGAAAAAUAAAAUUAAACGUUAAUAAAUCAAGCCGGAGUACGUCGAUAUUACAGAAGAAACGAAGAAUAGACAGUGGUACUUCGCCGUGGGAAGUUUCUCCCAUUGCUAGAGAUUUACGAGAUCCUGAUAAGGCAAGUUUUAUCGAAAACAAUUCGGAGCUCUCAUUUGAAUCAUCGGGAUCAAAUUCACCGGGUGUACAGUCACUUGACCACAAAAUCAAUGCGACAAAACAUCAUAAUGACAAAGAACCCCACCCUUUGUCAAGACGAGAAAUCCGGGAUGAUGUAAUCAGCCAAUUUUCGCCUGUAACCAGCCCAACAUCGACACCAAAUGAAUACAUGUACACAGCUGAAAAAUUCUGCAGUGGGAAAUACAUACAUACGACAGAAGUGACCACUGUGGCAAACAAAGCGACGAGCAAUCUAGAAAUAUCGUCUCUAGUGGAAGUGCCUACUGAGAAUUGUGGGAAAAUAUCUGAAUCCUCACCUAAUUUGCAUGAUAAAGACUGCACUGCGGAGAAACCAAUUAAAGAUACUACAAACAUACGUAAAAAAUCGGUGAAGUGUUCUUUGAUGAAAAAAAUACGAAAUCUGAAAAACUCGCACAAUAUAAAGCAUUUGGCAAACAAGACCAAUUCUUUAAAUAGUAGUGCAAUAAAGCCAACCCGUAAUAAUGUAUUAAAGACUAUGGUUUCAGUAACUGAAAUCAAAAGCGAUCUUAGCAAUGUUCAAAAAAUUCAAAGUGAUACAAAUACAAAUGAUACCAGUAUUAAUUGCCCCACAAAAAAACUUAGGAUCGCACAUAAUGUUCGUAAAUCAGAGGAAAAAUCUCUGAAUAAAGUAAAUCUAAAUACAUCAGAAUCAACAAGACCUUCAGCCUUGGAAAAGAUUGAGAUUCAAUUAGUUCCUAGUAGUGACAAUGCCACGAUUGAUACAUACGCUGUACCAGAUAACAAAAAGUUUAACAAAUUUCUGGAUUUUAUGGGCCCAACCAAGUGUGAUAAGCAUCCCGAUUUAUCGGUUACAAAACAAUGUAAAAGUAAUUCAAAUGAUGACACGAUUGAUAUUAGCAAAUUAGUGAAUGACACGAUUGAUAUUAGCAAAUUAGUGAAUGACGCGACUGCAAAACGUGAAGAAUUGGUACUUGCUAGGCAAGUUGUAUCAGACGAGGCUGGAACUAAGCGUUUGAAUAACGCUGUUGUGAGCGAACCUUCGAAUAACAAAAAUAUGUUCCAAAGCCAAUCUUACACGAUCAGUCCAAAAAUGUCCUUUGAAGUUAACAGUGCUCCAGAUCUCUGCGAUCUGAGUAAGUGUGCAGAGAGCGAUCUAUCGAGGGAGGCAGGAUUUGAAACAAAUCUGAAUGUAAAAGUUGAAAAACAUUCUGAAGGCUAUUCUUUCCCAAGGGUAUUGAAGGCCAACACUGAACUAAAUAGUCCCAUUCCUAAAAUUUCACCGUGUUGUAAAAUGAAAGUUCCUGAUGCAGAUAAUAGCGAAGGAAAAUCUCUGGAAAGACCAGCAAAGUCAGUAUCUCAUGUUCUGGGCAUGGAACUUAUUCGUUAUGGGGGUACUAACCCGUCAGAGAGUUUUGAUGAUGAUAAAGUAAUGCACGCAACAGAAGUUUCCAAUAACUUGGCACCUGUAAAGCCUGGAAUAUCUGAACAAGCGAACACUGUAAUUUUGGAUAAAAACGUAACUAGUUCUGUGAUAGACUCACAGUUCGGAGGAAUAAUUCUCAGCCCACCAAACAACUUGCAUGCAAAAACCUGUACCAACUUUGAAACUAACGAUAAAGUGAUGAAUGAAACUGUAUCGAACACACAACAGGCACCAGAGAAUAAUGAUGGCGAAUAUAUCAAAGCCUCUGGUCUGAGAGAUUUGAUUGAGAGACAUUUUACUAGCUCCAAGAAUAAAGGUUGUCAUAAAUUGAAUAAAGGCUGCAUAAAGCUGCAAACAAGAAAGGAAAAUCUGGUUCUGAAAGAAUUGUUGCAAAUAACUGAAGAUCCAGAGUGGACAAACUCGAAACUUGCUGCGUCAGUCGAAAGGCUGUCUAAAUUCAAAACACACACUAUAGCCAAGUGCAUAACGGAUUUUUUAUCCACAAAAGCAAAAGACCAUGAAGAAUUGGAUCACACUCAUACACCUCCAGCUCCGUUACUGUCAAAAACACAACAGCGGAUCUUGACGACAAUAGUUGUACUCAAUCGCACGAUGCCACAAAUCAUGCAACUUGUCCAAGAUGGGAUUCAGUAUAAGCUCUUCAGGCUUAAUUUCGCACCUGAGGUUGAAGUUGUGGAAGAAUUAACUCGAGUCUUCACUGCUUUGGCUCGGAUACAGAAGGAUAGAGAAAAGGUGAGGAUUUUAUGCUGUGAUGCUUUCUACUGUCUUGGCUUGAAAGCCUUUCCCCUCACUUAUGUAGCACUCAUCAGUUGGCCCGAAGUGUUUCCAAUGGCUGGUGCUUGCAGUGAUCCAUUAAUCCUUUGCCUAACUGAGAUAAUAUUGUCCGUGCAAGGGGAUCUCGAAUUUCCCAAGUUUUGUGCGUUGAAAAAGCAUAUUACGACGUAUUACAAGUACAAGAACGAUGGUAACGGUAGCCCAGCUUUGAUAAAGAACUUCAUGACUACUCUGAAGGAGAAACGUCAAAACGGUCUUGAUACAGCAAUGAUACUUUUUGCAAAAAAGAAAGCGCCCGAUUGGACUUAUAACAAUUUUAUUCAAGGCCUCAUGCAGAUGAUAAUUGAAAAUACUCAUCCAUGUAUAUAUGAUGCCUUCUGUUUGCUAGGUCAUCUCAUGCGAUCUUUCCCAGUCGAGGACGAGAAUGGUUUGGUGCAAAACAUUCUCGAGCAGUUGUGUGCACUCAUUGAAUCUGGAGAAGGUUCAAUGGAGCUGCAAGAAGGUGUAGCAACUGCUCUGCUGAAUUUCACGCGCCACAAACCAAAAGUAGUGACAUCGACUCUCUUGAAAUGGACGCCAAAGGAACCAAUGUCUAAAACAUUGACUCAUCGACUUACAACACUGAUUGAAACGUGUCCAGUAGGUUGGUGGAAGAAAAUCCUGCGUAGUAAUGAUAUGCAGAAGUAUUAGAACCAAGCCAAAAAGUAAUUUCAUCAAUUUUUCUCUACGAAAUAAUUUACCUGAUACAGCACGUAAUGCAGGGUAUUUAAAAAUGAAGUGGGCGAUGUUAAACGUCAAUAACUCAGCAGUUUCACUAUUUAUUAUAACGCAACCUUUUUUCAAUAAUACGCUUUUGCUCGUAGAUCGUACACUACAGUGAGAAUCUACGUAAUACUUCGAUUUAACAGACUUUUUAUAUUCAUGGAAUCUUCAACAAUGUUAACUACUCAGUGAAAUGUAAUUGUAAGAAAUAUAACGUUGUUUUCAAAAUAAGUAAAUCCUCUCGCUCAUA
rnacentral:misc_RNA from 1 species